rnacentral:rRNA from 1 species
GACGUAGGGUGCAAGCGUUGUCCGGAUUUACUGGGCGUAAAGAGCUCGUAGGCGGUUUGUUGCGUCGGCUGUGAAAUCCCGAGGCUCAACCUCGGGUCUGCAGUCGAUACGAGCAAACUAGAGUGUUGCAGGGGAGACUGGAAUUCCUGGUGUAGCGGUGAAAUGCGCAGAUAUCAGGAGGAACACCGGUGGCGAAGGCGGGUCUCUGGGCAACAACUGACGCUGAGGAGCGAAAGCGUGGGGAGCGAACAGG